UAGAUUUUUAGCAGUACCCCCUCCCCUCCAGUACCCCCUCCCCUCCAGUACCCCCUGUACCUCCAGUAACUUUCUGUAUUAUUCCAUGUCCGCAUUUAUGUUAGCAUGGCCUACUAGAAAUAAUCGAGACAAAGAAAUAAUCGCCGCCAAAGCUGUUUUUAGAUUUGAAUAAUGGGUCACUAAACGAUGUCUACGGUGCAAUUCUCUUAUAUCAUUAUCUUAAAAUGCAAUUCUGCUUUGCAAACAUUUUUGCCGCGGUGACUGCAAUAGGCAGCCAUCUUGCCAUGCAUUUUGCUGUGUUUUUGUUGUUGUUGCUUUUUGAAAAAGAGGCAGUGUUAUAAAACUUAUUCUCUUUGCAGAAAUAAAGUAAAGACAUGUCACAAAAUGUUAGGCGAGUUUAUGCUUUGGGGGCUUUUGGUGGAUUGAUGGGAUUGGGGUAUUUGCUGAUGAAGCUAACAGUUCCAGAUAAAGAAAAGUUAUUGGAGAGAAUGUCUGAUGAUUUGAAGGACCAAAGGAGAUUAAACAAGACAGAAGAACAAAAUAAACAACUUUUGCAAGUUAUACAGAAAAACAUAGCAUCCGAAGAUCCUAUAUGGAAGCUCAAAACACUUGACAAUGAAAGAAAAUGAGGAAAUAAUAGUAUGUUGUCUGUUUCAUUCUUUGCCUGCCUCAAUUUUAACCCAGCAGCUUUAUUCAAUGUGUGGCUGGCAUGAAGGAUUUGCAGUAAAGGUUAUGAGACAAAAACAUAUACUGGGUCUUCUUGGUGAAGCUGGGCAAGUGUGAUGAGGAUGGUAUUGAAGUUGAAAAAUAGAAACUAAGUCAAAGAGGGUGAUUUCUUUGAGAUGUGUAUUUUGCUCGUUACGUUAUUAAGUUAUUUGCAAUCUGUAAUCCAGAAAUUGUAGCUUGCACAUUUUGUUUGCAAAUUAAAUUGUGAUAUGUGUGGACUAUCCUCCAGUUGAGUCUUAUGUUAACAUUUUUCAAGUAACUGCCAGCCUAACUUGCAAUAAGAGAAACUCUACCACUAAAAUUUAUAUCUUAAAUAGCAGACAGGUUUCUAUCUAUUUCUAAAGUUAAACAAUGUCAAAGUAGACCAGAUAUUAUGUUAAUUACAGCCAAUGAUAGCUUAAUAGAUUUCCAAUUUUGGUUUUUGGUGAAUGGUCUCUAGCAGUGUUAUGUAAUUUGUGAUGAUCUGUACCUAUAAAUAUGUGAUUUAAAUUAAUGGUAAAACUUUGCAGACAUUUGCCCUUGAAAAUUUUAUCAAAUGAAUUGGUUUCAAUCUCUGUGAAUAUUGAUAAUGUUUUGAUUCUAUGCUCAAACUGAUGAUUAUAAUAUCAAUUUAUGUAUUAUUUUUCACAAAAAACAGGCUAAACCUAAAUCUGAAAUAUUUUUGGUUUAUCAAUUUAAUUCUUUUAGCAAAGCUUACUAUCCAUGAUAUUUUGCAGUUCAAAACAUGAGAAAUUAUUUCCUUGAUAUUUUUUUGCCUAAUUUUUCAAUAACUGUUUUUUGUCUUAUCUUUUGUCUGUUGAUGCC